rnacentral:rRNA from 1 species
GAGUAACACGUGCUUAAUCUCCUUUUAGAUGAUACCCAUUGGAAACAAUGGCUAAUGCCGGAUACGCAUGGAAUCGCAUGGUUCCGUUGUGAAAGGCGCUGUAAGGCGCCACUAAAAGAUGAGGGUGCGGAACAUUAGUUAGUUGGUGAGGUAAUGGCCCACCAAGACUAUGAUGUUUAGCCGGGUCGAGAGACUGAACGGCCACAUUGGGACUGAGAUACGGCCCAAACUCCUACGGGAGGCAGCAGCU